AAAGUCGUAACAAGGUCUCCGUUGGUGAACCAGCGGAGGGAUCAUUACUGAGUUACCGCUCUAUAACCCUUUGUGAACAUACCUAACUGUUGCUUCGGCGGGCAGGGGGUCCCCCCGGGGACGCCCUCCCGGCCACGCCCCUCGCGGGGCGGGGCGCCCGCCGGAGGAUACCAAACUCUGUUUUAACGACGUUUCUUCUGAGUGGCACAAGCAAAUAAUUAAAACUUUUAACAACGGAUCUCUUGGUUCUG
rnacentral:misc_RNA from 1 species